rnacentral:rRNA from 1 species
AACGAACGCUGGCGGCGUGGAUAAGACAUGCAAGUCGAACGCUGAUUGCGGAGUAGCAAUAUUCUGCAAUCGGAGUGGCGCACUGGUGCGUAACACGUGGGUAAUUUGCCGCGAAGUUCGGGACAACUCCGAGAAAUCGGAGCUAAUACCGGAUGUGAUCGCCUGGGGACAUCCCUGGGCGGUUAAAGUUGGGGACCGCAAGGCCUGACGCUUCACGAUAAGCCCGCGGCCUAUCAGCUAGUUGGUGAGGUAACGGCCCACCAAGGCUAAGACGGGUAGCUGGUCUGAGAGGACGACCAGCCACACUGGAACUGAGACACGGUCCAGACACCUACGGGUGGCAG